UUAACCCAAAAGCUGGGUUGAGCCUGUUGGGUCAUGUUGUUGGGUUAUUUUCUUAGUGUUGGGUCAUUUUUUGAGUAACCCAAACGCUGGGUUAGCAGUCGGGUCCAAUUGAGUGACAGUUGAGAGAGUAAACCCCUCCCACUCAUCGACGCAUCAGACAAACUUUACCUUCGCGGGCAUUUUGAUCCACCUCAUCUCGAAAAGUUGUUAUUCGGAGAAGAAAAGCGUGCAGAAUAACAGCUAAUAUUAAUGGAUCAUUCCAUUCAAGAGAAUGUCAACUGGAACGUGGAUGUUUUCAUAAUAGGCUUAAAGAUGAACAAAUUGAUAAAGAAACCCUCCUGCUGGACAUCCACUUCCAAAAGUGCACGCCACACUGUUGUCUACAACUCUCAGGAAAAGAAUCCUCUUUAGUAAGACUGCUCCGUGGAUAUGUCAGGUUAAGCAGUGCUGAAACCGAAAGAACUAACGCUCUUUAAAAUGUUUUGUGAGUUUAUAUGAAGAGGAAAGUUACGGUGUCCCUUUUUCACAUCCAUAACGCUUGUUUAUUUCUUUUUUAUAGAAAACUUGUGCAUAGACUGAUAUUUUAUCAUAUAAAUGCGAUUCUAUCAACAAGGGUUUAGUAAAAUACUUUUUAUAGUGUUUUUAUGUCGCAUCCAUAACGCUGCAUUUUACUCAUGCCACUUUGUUAACUGUAUAUGAAUUUUUGAAGUGUUAAGUUGUCUAACUAUUUAUAUUUACUUGUGCCACUUUAAUAACCUUGUUAAAUGUAUAUGUUAAAGUCUAAACUAAUGUAAUUUAUUGAAGUUAAUUUUCCUUAAAUAUGUAUAAACAUACAUUUCAUCAAAG